rnacentral:rRNA from 1 species
CGCUAGGGGCACCGCCGGGUAGCUAAGUCGGGAAAGGAUAACCGCUGAAAGCAUCUAAGCGGGAAGCCCACUCCAAGAUUAGAAUUCCAUGGACUUAGGUCUGAGAGAGCCCAGAUAGACUAUCUGGUUGAUAGGCCGGGUGUGUAAGCAGCGAAAUCUGUUCAGCUAACCGGUACUAACGCUCGAUAACUUGACCAU